UCAAACCUGCUCAAUGAUUUUCAUAAUUAAAUAGCCGCGGUACCCUGACCGUGCAAAGGUAGCAUAAUCACUUGCCUCUUAAUUGGUGGCUGGCAUGAAGGGUCCCAUGAGAAUAAAACUGUCUCUUUUCUAAUCUAUUGAAACUACCCACUAGGUGAAAAGGCCUAGAUAAUUAUAUAAGACAAUAAGACCCUAUCGAGCUUUAGGUUAAAAUCUACUAUAAAUAAAACCAAAAAGAAAUUACACCUUUAGUUGGGGCGACUAAGGAACAAACAAAACUUCCUAAAAUAAUAAUACCCACAAGUUAUGACCCGGAAAAUACCCGAUAAAAGAAAAAAGCUACCGUAGGGAUAACAGCGUAAUUUUCUUUGUGAGCUCUUAUUAAAAAGAAAGUUUGCGACCUCGAUGUUGGAUUAAGGUAUCCUAAAGACGCAGCAGUCUUUAAGGGUUGGUUUGUUCAACCAUUAAAACCUUACAU
rnacentral:rRNA from 1 species